rnacentral:lncRNA from 1 species
CAUAUGUGCCAUGAGCAGAAGUGUCAGUAACAGAAAGUGGAUUGCAGUAUUGUAGCGUAUUCUCAGCCUGUAAAGUAAAUGGUUUCUAACAACUUUUUGAAUUUAAAAAGCCUUUUCAAUAUUUUUGUGGCUUGACGGUACAUCUGAGAGGUGACACAAAAAUUAUAUUUUUUCUGUUACCACCUGAUGAGAACACCAGGUCAAAUUAAACCUGGGUCUAUAGUGGGCCUGGAAACCAUAUAUGAAUGACCAUGUUAAAAAGGUUUUGUGUUUUUCAAUUGAAUAUGCAAUUACAUGAAUGCAGUGGUUUCCUACAUAAGUCUCCAUAACUCUGCCAUUGAUAUAAGCAUGUAUUUGAUAUCUUAUUACAGUUGCAACCGUCCAAAUGCCUACUGGCAUUUGAAAUGAUGCAGAUUAUCUGAAACAUUCACUGAAGACUAAUAAAAAAUCACACAAGAUCUGUUAUUCCCUAGAUCAUCAGAUCAACAACUGCUGAAGUGAAACUACUUAACUUCAUGUUACUUGUUAUAAUGUUAGACACCACUUUUAAUCAACUGGAUUGUAACCCCAGCAUGGGAUUUAAUGGAUUCAUCUUCUGGAUUAAGAUACUGCAGUUUUGGUUUUUGAAGGAAGAUGAUCAUAUCUGAUCUUUGUAGCUGCCAUUACAGUCAAUGGCGAUCCAGCAAAUACAUGGCAAGUGGAAUACCUGGGGAAAUUGUGUUUGUUGCCACAGAAGCUUCCACUGCUCUGCUCUGAAAAAGACUAUCCUUCCACACUGGACCUGUGCAGAAAGAAACAGUCAUGUUUCACCAUGUCAUGUGGUGACAUUAUGGGACAUAUGGACAACUCAGAAGACAAUUCUAUGAGUUUUAUGUUGUUCCUGCAAUAAGGAUGCAUGAGAAAAGUGGUUUGUCAAAAGUUAACAGUUAAAAUUCAGUAAAGGUGGUUAAAUUUCUCUUUCAUCUACCCACUCAUAGCAACAUAAAAGUGCCACAAUGUCAGCAGUCACAUGCCAUUUUAAAAAUAAUGGAGUACAUGAGUCAUGACAGCUGUGACAGACAUUUUCACUUGCACUGAUGGAGAAUUAAAAGACUGAAAAUUCUUUUUUUUUUUUUUAAAGUAUUUAAUUCACAUCCGAUUUUUUUUUCCACCGUGCUUUUCAGACUAUUUAAUACUCUAGAAAAAGCAUUGCUCAGAGAGUGCUCAAAAUGGAGUACACAGCACCCAUGUAUGCUUCACAGAUAACUGUGCAUUCUUGACAAGACCCAUAAAGACAUUCUCAGAAGUAAUGCCUGUGGGUGGAGAAAUAAACAGAAUUUUGUCAAAGAAACA